UACAGAGGUCCCCGAGCGUUGUUCGGAUUCACUGGGCGUAAAGGGUGCGUAGGUGGCGGGGUAAGUCUGACGUGAAAUCUCCAAGCUCAACUUGGAAACUGCGUCGGAUACUAUUCUGCUCGAGGGUUGGAGGGGGGACUGGAAUACUUGGUGUAGCAGUGAAAUGCGUAGAUAUCAAGUGGAGCACCAGUGGCGAAGGCGAGUCCCUGGACAACUCCUGACACUGAGGCACGAAAGCUAGGGGAGCAAACAGGAUUAGAAACCCGUAGUACGU
rnacentral:rRNA from 1 species